rnacentral:rRNA from 1 species
AUGGCCUUCUCGCGCCUUCUCCCCUCCCGCCGCCUCCUCUCCGCCUUCCUCCACACCCCGACCCCGAUCCCCGCCGCGCGCGCCACCGGCCCCGCCGCCGCAACCACCUCCCCGUUCGCCCAAACCCUCCAGCCCGCGCGCUUCUUCUCCGCGACGAGGCGGGCCGGGCCGGGCGCCCCGCGGCAGCGCGCGGCGGACAUCGGCGCGCGGGCGCGGCAGCUGCAGAGCCGGCGCCUCUGGACCUACGCGCUCACCUUCGGCUGCGCGGCCGGGUUCGUGGUCACCGUGCUCGCCACGUUCCAGGACCAGCUCGUCUUCUACCUCACCCCCACCGACGCGCUCGCGCGCUUCGCCACCGACCCCUCCAAGACCCGCUGCCGCCUCGGCGGGCUCGUCCUCGAGGGCUCCGUCGCCCACCCCUCCUCCUCCUCCUCCGAGAUCGAGUUCGUCGUCACCGACCUCGUCACCGACGUCCUCGUCCGCUACGAGGGCGCCCUCCCCGACCUCUUCCGCGAGGGCCACUCCGUCGUCGUCGAGGGGUUCCUCAAGCCACUCACGGACGAUCUCCGCCGCGACUGGGCGGGGAGAAAGGUCUCCGAUAAGGCGCUGGAGGGCCAGUGCUUCUUGCGUGGCACGGAGGUGCUCGCCAAGCACGACGAGAAGUACAUGCCCAAGGAGGUCGGCGAGGCGAUCGAGCGCAACAAGAAGCAGAUCGAGGCGGAUGCGGCUGCCGCCGCCGCUGAGGAGAACGCGGCGGUUGCGGUGGAUGGAGCCAAAGCAAACUCGUAA